CGUAUUUCUACAAUUCUAAUUUUAAACCUAUCUUUCUGAUUUCGGUGGAAAUUUCUCCAAUAACUUUAUAGACUUUGCUUCACAAAUUGUAUACUUAAUAAAUAUAAAUAAUUUAUUUGAAGUUUAUCUGGUUAAAUUUUUUACAUCAAUAUAAAUAAGAUCUUGUAUCAAAAUAUUAAUCAAUUUUCAGAGCCUUGAAAUUCUGCAGUCAUGAC